GUCUGGAGGAGUGCCACAUGAACAUAUUCGCCAGCACACCACGGAUCGUAUAACGUCCAAAAAAGUUUUAAUGCACAGAAAACAUCACAAGAGGUGCAGCGUUUCGAGGCAGCAUAGGACCUCUUCGUCAGGCAAGUGAUAAGUGGGCGUCUGGAGGAGUGGGCGUUCCUAGGCAGCCUUUAUUUGCAUAGGUAACGCCCACAUGUGAUGCUGAACCUCCCAUGAGUGGAAGAACCAAGAUCCAAUGAAUGAAAGGGGCGGGCCAGGGUUAUUCAGUCUGGGGAGGAGUUACGCAAAUAUCAAAAUUCCUCCUUAAUGGGUGGGUGUCACUCUGGGGGAGUGGGCGUUCUUAGGCAGCCUUUAUUUGCAUAGGUAACACCCACAUGUGAUGCUGAGCCUCCAUAAGUGGAAGACCCAAGAUCCAAGGAGUGAAAGGGGCGGGCCGGGGUUAAUCGGGCUGGGGAGGAGUUAUGCAAAUAUCAAAAUGCCUCCUUAAUGGGUGGGUGUCAGUCUGGAGGAGUGGGCGUUCCUAGGCAGCCUUUGUUUGCAUAGGUAACGCCCACAUAUGAUGCUGAGUCAGUCUGGAGGAGAGGGCGUCCUGGCAGCCUUUAUUUGCAUAGGUAACGCCCACAUGUGAUGCUGAGCCUCCCAUGAGUGGAAGAACCAAGAUCCAAUGAAUGAAAGGGGCGGGCCAGGGUUUUUCAGGCUGGGGAGGAGUUACGCAAAUAUCAAAAUUCCUCCUUAAUGGGGGGGGGUGUCACUCUGGGGGAGUGGGCGUUCUUAGGCAGCCUUUAUUUGCAUAGGUAACACCCACAUGUGAUGCUGAGCCUCCAUGAGUGCAAGAAAGGAGAUCCAAUGAAUAAAAAAGGGCGGGCCAGGCUGUCACUUAAAGGAAUUAUCCUGUUUUCUGUGUCAGAGCUCCACCCCCCCCCUGGCGUCAUUCUACAUCUGUCCAGCAUGCUGUAUGGCUGUGUAUGUGUGAUGGGUGUGGCUUGGGGGUCAGCGCAGUGCCCGCGGUAGCUUGCAGAGGUGGCGGGGUGUAUAUAGUUGGCAUACAUGAAGAAUCCCAGUUGGGUAGAGCUCAUAUCCAUGCAGUUCUAAUGGCCGCCAUCAAUCCAUAUCAAUGUUUUCUAAGCAGCCAAUCCGCUUCCAUCUGUGUCCUCCGUUCCUGCAAGAAUGAGACAACAUUUUCUGUGGCUGAAAUCCUUGGACUCACGAACCCACCUCGCCUGAAAUAUGACACUGUUAAAGCUCCGAUCUGUGAAAAGGAAUUGCUCCGUGCUGGAAAUGUGCAGAUACGUUUGGUUGCUCAGCCUGAUAUCGACAUUGCAGCUGGUGGAGGGUUGCAGGUGCUGAUGAUCUAUUGGAGUUUUUAGUUUUUAAAUAAUAGGAUUAGUAAGGUGAGUGGGCGGGGUCCUCGCCAUGAAGAGUUUUGGACUGUUCCAUUGUGCCACUGAAGAGGGGAUGCCACGUUGCCCCAGCUCCUGUGUGGUGCCUUAUUGUUGCCAUGGACCGGGUUAUGUGGAGGAGGGGAGUGGGGGGGAUCUUUUAUUGAAUGACGUUCUCCCCUCCUCAUCCAGGGGGUUUUCUAUGGAAUAUUUCAAGUUCAUUGCCCCCCCACCAUCACCACCCCUCCAUAAAAGGGCGAGGACCUAUAUUUUUGGGGGGCCCGUCUUCAGCUCCCCUUGAGCACUAAACUGGGGGGCCGCGCAGAGCCCCUGAAGGCUGUAACUAGUGAUAUUUGUACAACCAAAGAACUUUAUUUUGUGGCUCACAAACAAUAAAGUUUACUUUACAUUAUC